UGCGGGGUGGAGCAGCUUGGUAGCUCGUCAGGCUCAUAACCUGAAGGUCGUAGGUUCAAAUCCUACCCCCGCAA
rnacentral:tRNA from 1 species